rnacentral:rRNA from 1 species
UACGUAGGUGGCAAGCGUUGUUCGGAAUUAUUGGGCGUAAAGAGCUCGUAGGCGGUUUGUCGCGUCUGCUGUGAAAACUCGGGGCUUAACCCCGGGCCUGCAGUGGGUACGGGCAGACUAGAGUGCGGUAGGGGAGACUGGAAUUCCUGGUGUAGCGGUGAAAUGCGCAGAUAUCAGGAGGAACACCGGUGGCGAAGGCGGGUCUCUGGGCCGUAACUGACGCUGAGGAGCGAAAGCAUGGGGAGCGAACAGG